GAUAUAAAGUUGGGAUAGCACGCCAUUAGAAUAGUUGCUACUCCGUAUUUCUCCUCUUUUCCAGUUUCGUUCCCGAUCAGACCUUCAAGUAAGCAUGGCUGAGGCACUUGUUAAAGUUCUCCUUGAGCGUUUGGCUACGGUCGCCCUUGGCAAGGUUCGAGGAGAGUUCAAACUGGUCUUUGGGUUUGAGGAAGAAGUCAAGAGCCUCGCCCGCAAUCUAGAAGCUAUUCAAGCUGUGCUGGAGGAUGCAGAGCAGAGGCAAGUGACGGAGGCAACCGUGAGACGUUGGCUGAGUGAACUGACUGAAGUUUCCUACGAGAUAGAUGACGUUUUGGAUGAGUGGAUCACUCAAGUUCGAAAGAGACAGAUGGAGAAAGAAGAAAAGCAUGCUCUUGCUAUUGCUAAGAAGGUACGUUCCUCUGCCUCCUCUUUCAUUUCUGGUAGCAAGGUCAGGCGGUUUAUUCAUCGUCGCGAAAUGGCUGGGAGGAUUAAAGAGCUAAAUGAAAGAUUAGCUUUGAUUGAUAAGGAAAAACAAAGUUUUAAUUUUCAAAACACCACAAGAGACCCUCAACUACUUGUGCGGCAAAAAACUACUUCUCUUCCCAAUGUUAAAACAUUUGGUCGAGAUAAUGAAAAAAACCUCAUAGUUAGCAAGCUGCUAAGUGAGAGUAGUGAAGGAAAUGAGGCUCCUCUUAUCAUUCCUAUUGUAGGGAUGGGAGGAAUGGGGAAAACAACUCUUGCUCAACUUGUUUACAAUGAUGAAAAUGUGAAAUCUUAUUUUGACAAGAGAAUACGGGUUUGUGUCUCGGACCCGUUUGAAGAGAUCAAGAUUGCUCAAGCUAUCAUUGAAUGUCUAGAUAGAGAUAAUACCUCAAAAAAUUCAAAUCAGUUGCAAAUUCUUGUGGAAUGCAUAUAUGAAUUGCUUGAGGGUAAAAAGUUUCUCCUUGUCUUAGACGAUGUGUGGAGCCCAAAACUUACUCAAUGGGAAGAAUUGAUUAAAUCUUUAUGUAAUGGUGCUAUUGGCAGUAGAGUAUUGGUGACCACUCGAAAGAAGGAGGUUGCUACUUUAAUGAAAGCAACUACUCAAUUGAUCCUUUUGGAGGAGUUGGCUCAAACAUUUUGUUUGUCAUUGUUCUAUUACAAUGCAGACAUGAAUGAGAGUAGUGUGUCUCAAGAGUUACAAGAUAUUGGGUUAGAGAUUGUGAAAAGGUGCAAUGGGUUGCCUCUUGCUGCAAAGACAUUAGGAAGCCUUAUGCGCAAUAAGAAAAAGAUUCAUGAAUGGCAAGCUAUUUUAAGAAGUAAGACAUGGGAGUUGAAAGAGAUUCAACAAGAUGUUUUUCGACCACUAUUACUAAGUUAUCAUGAUUUGACUCCCACAAUCAAACGUUGUCUUUUGUACUGUGUUAUAUUUCCCAAAAAUUAUGUAUAUAAUAAAAAUAAUUUGAUUGAGUUGUGGAUGUCACAAGAUUAUCUGGAUGCCAAAGGAAGUAAAGAAAAGAUAACUAUUGGUCAAAAUUAUUUUGAUGACUUAGGAAUGCGGUCAUUCUUUCAAGAUGUUGUGGUAGAUGCUAAGAUUGAAAACAUAACAUGCAAAAUUCAUGAUAUUGUACAUGACUUUCUACAAUAUUUGACCAAGAAUGAAUGUUUGAUUCAAGAUUUUGAGUUGGGUGCUAGUGAAAGAACGGAGGUGCCAAAUGAUAAAGUUCAUCAUUUGACCUUAUUGCAUGCAACCGAGAGUGAUUCUUUGGUAUCUUUUCUCCUUAGUUAUAAAAAGUUACGUACCUUGACAGCUAUAGAUUCAUCCAAUAAUUCCACUAACCCAAUAUUUGAGUUGACAGUACAAUUGAAAUGCCUUAGGACAGUAAUCUUGCAUCCUAGGAACAAUGGUCUCGUAGAAAUUCCCGAAAUGAUAGGUGAAUUGAUACAUUUGAGGUAUCUUGAUUUAUCUGGUAAUGACAAGUUAAAAGAAUUGCCCAGCGCCAUGGGUAGCUUAUACAACUUGCAAACCUUGCGACUUGUUGGUUGUGACAGUCUCCGAAAAGUAGAUGUGCGAAGGCUGAUUAACUUGAGGCAUCUUUAUGUUGAUGGCUGUGGUUCCCUAAGCAUAAUACAAGGAAUUGAGAAAUUAACAGAUCUGCAAAGGCUAGAUAGGUUUCGUGUCGGAGAUUGUGAUGAAGAAAACAAGUUCGAAGAUCUGAAAGACUUAAACCAGCUUCAAGGGGGUCUUACUAUUGAGACUAAGGGAAAUCCAAAUAUGGCGGAGAAAGCAAUUAUGGUGAAUAAGGCUCACCUCCUGCAAUUGAAACUAGACUUCCAAUUGAGUUAUUAUGCAGAGCGGCAAAGAGAAAUUAUGAAUGGCUUAGAGCUGCAUCCAUGUUUGGAAUCUUUAUCGAUCUCUUAUUAUGAAGGCGGCGCCUUCUCCCGUUGGUUGUUGUCUUUACACAGCUUGAGAGUCCUCACCCUCAAGGAGUGCAACAAUUGUCGGUCUUUUCCUCCUUUAGGGAAACUGGCGUCUCUUGAAUCAUUGCAUAUUGAGAGACUCGAUGGAGUUGAGAAGGUAGGAGUUAAGUUUUUGGGAAUAGAUGGGCAAAUCUCGUCCUCCAUUUUCAUAUCAUUCCCGAAGCUGGAAAAACUCACCAUCGAAGACAUGCGGUUAUGGAAAGUGUGGGAAGGAGUGGAGGGUUGGAUGCGGGAAGAGGAGAAUUCUGAGAAUAAUAAUAUUACAAUUAUGCCAUGCCUCUCUCAGUUGACAAUUUCUUUGUGCUGGAACAUAAAAGCACUGCCAGACUUCCUGUGGAAGACACCACUACAGAAAUUGCACAUCAAGGCAUCUCCAUUUCUCCAAGAACUUUACAGAAGAAAAAAAAAAAGGGCCGAGAUUUCUCACAUCCCAAACAUCAAAUUAGGAUGAAUUGGUGGUGACUUGCAUGGCCAGCUCAUGCUUCAUUAAUUUUAUUGGACAUUUCAUAGCACUGCCGGACUAUGAGCCAUCAUAGAAGAUUGUUCAACUUGGGAUUGUUUCUUUGGUUCUACCUAGAAGAAAAUCGUACCAAGAUACAUGUAGAGCUAAUAUAUAUCGAAGCUUGAAGCAUUAAUUUAGAAUCGCCUUAGAGUUGAAAGCCUGAUCGAAUUGUACAUUGGUGGAGGAUGGGAAUAAUGAUCUGCCAAUAUUUGAUUGUAAUCCCAGCUCGAUCAACUUCCAAACAGGCAGUGGCGGAACUUGGAGCCCAAUCUUGGAGGGGCCAAAAAUUAAUAGUUUAGUAAAUUGGGGCAAUGGGGGGGCCAUAUAUAUACAAAAUUGUUGACUUUAUUGGUGUUAUACACGGCUGGUUAAGGAAAUUUGAAAACAUUGGGGGGGGCCAUGGCCCUCACCCGCCCCUAUAAGGAUCCGCCACUGCAAACAGGUCUCACUUCCCCAUUAAUGUGACAGAGUGAUAGGCUAAACAUCGAAUCACCAACAUCUUUGAACCUACCUUAGAGAUUCUCUACUUAUGCAGAGAGGAUAAGCACUACAUCUUCCUUCAUCAACAGAAUCUUCCUUGUGAUUUGUCCGCCAAACAAAGACAGCACGAGCUGAAAUGUGUGAAGAACUGUUGACUGGCUUGUUGUCGAAGACAGAUACAUUAACUGUCACGGAACCAGUUACUAUUCCAGGAAUGAAGACCUUUCUCUAUCUAGGGCAGUAUUUGUUUCAUCAAGCACACUUCAUGUAUCUACUGCAGAGGAUACGCCACAUCGAGGUCAUUUGCUGCUUUGGACUGCAUACAACGAUUAUGAUGCAUUGCAUGAGAUGAUUUUCUUAAAAGAUUACUAUCAAGUCUAUCAUUGGAGGUCACAAACAGCACCAGGCAGCUGAGACAUAACAUAUUCUUGAAGCAGGAUUGAAGAUCUUCCUGGUUAAUUGUGAUAUUCUUUUUCCUCUGAUGCUUGAACUCGACUCCUUAUUAAGUACACCCACAUCCUGACAUUCUUGGUCUGAUCAUGACUUGCAGAUCAAAGAAGGAUAGUUUUCUUGUACAAGCCUUCAGUAAUUUGGUUUCCAUUCGUCCAGUAGGAGGUUCCCUUUUGUAGAGUUUAUCAAAGUCAAAUGCCCACUGCCACAGAAUCUGGGUUUCUUCCAGUAAUAAAGGGAGGAACCUCACAUCUCCAAGAUGCCCCUCAACACGAUGCACAACUGGGAAAUUCCUUUGCAUUUCAGAUUUUUCAACAAUGGUGGAGAUAUGAGGAACCUUAGUAUAGAAAUUUCAAGACAAUUUCAUCUGCUAGAGGUGAUGCUGAUAAUUCUGGAAAACCUGGCAAAGCUGAUGAAAAACCUUAAAUCUCUCCGGAAAGAAGACCAGCAGCUCCAGCAUUAGCGUUAAUAAGUUUUCUGGUUUGGAAUCUGGGUGUUGUUUAUUUUUUUACAAUCACAAGAACUACAGCUAUCAUCUGCCAUCUUUUUUUUCUUUUCUCUACUUCAGUUGGGGUGUGUGGUACUCUUUUCCCCUUCGUCCGGGAAUCUUGUCCCACUGGGUU